rnacentral:lncRNA from 1 species
AGGCAAAGACUGAAAGAAAAUAGACUGAAAGAAAAGACUAAAGAAAAUAGGCCUUCCCUUUUUUUCAUCGAGGGCUCUGGCCAUGUAAGUGACAGAGGGCGGUUAGGCUUCAGAGUCGGAGAGAUAGGAGUUUGCUUACUACUGAUGGUGUGACUCUGGUAGGUUAGUGACAUCUCUGAGCCUUUGUGCUUGCCUGUAAAAUGAAGACAAUCCUGUGUUACUUGAAGGAUUGUUUUGGGAUUCAGUCAUAGCCCAUGUGGGGACACCUAGAAAGAUGAAUGUGAUUAGUUCAAGCCCAAGUCCAAGGGGAAUGAGGGACUGAUUCAUCUUGCCUGAUGAACUGUCCACCUGCCCAUCUGCUGAUGAAACACAGCUGCAGGAACUCUUUCACCUCCUUGGUGUGAGUGUGUGGGGAGUUUGCUUUUAGCUGUUUCUUUCAGAGCUGGGUGCCCCAGUGAGUGAUACAUCAUUUCCUGGCAGCCCUGGGGCCCCAGUCACAUGCUCUGUUUUGCUGGAGUCCUGGGAAUCCCUUCUAAGAGAGGUGUGGUCUUUCAGAGGCUUCUAGACAGGUUACAUUUUUGCCACAACUUCAGAUGCCAUUCACAUGCCAAGUUGAACUCUGUGUGCUCUGUCACUCCUCCUAUGGUCUUCCCUGCCUUACCCUUUGUGGUUUCCUUUAUGGCAAAUUGAAGUCCG